UUGGGUUGGAGAGGGAUGCCAGGUUGAGGGCAAGAUUCGAAGCACCAGUAUUGCUUUGUGUAGUGAUGGCUCAUGCUUGGCUUUUGCAGCUGCUCUUCCAAAGCAAUUUUCCAGGAGUCCUAGACUGAGGAGAAAGUGGCAGAAGUGGACAUGAACAAUCCUCAGCUUUCUGACUCCCGCACAACUGGCUGCUCAUAUACACCCCUUGAACCAAAGGGACUUGCUCUUCACUGACUGACUAUGCCUGGCAGUGCAGGAAAUGGUCAACUGAAGGUAAUGUAUCUUUGGAAGAACUCAGGGUAAGUUUUUAAAGUGAAGAGGUCUGGUUAUGCUCAUGCUGGUUAAUCUUAAGUCUGUAUUAAUACUGUAGUUUAGUUAUAUUAGUAAAUUGUUGAAGUUGUUUAAAGAUUGUAAUAGUCAAUAGUUGAUCAAUAUAUAAUAACUGUAUAUGUUUUUGUGCCUUGCUGGGAAUGGGUACAGUGCUGGUGAACCUAGUAGCUUUGCAUGUCGCUGUGCCUGUCUUUUAUAUAAGUUACCAUCAUAAAAGUCAAUAAAUGCUUAUAAGUUGUUAUACAAAGUUAUAGGUAGGUUAAGGUUAGUAAAAUAUAGUUAGUCCAUGUAUUAAUAUUGCAUAUAGAAUUGUAUUUGUUGGGGUGGGUGCAGUACAUGUAAGGUUACUAGGCAAUCAGUAAUAGUAGCAUUGCAUGCGCUUGUAACUAUUUUCAAUAUUAUUUACCUUUUAUAUGUGCACUUAUAGGAAUAGGCAGUUAUUGCAUAAUAUUACUUGUACUUGUGCUUGUCUCCAGUAUAAUUUGCCAUUUGUAUUAAUCCUCACUCAGUGCUGGUCUUUAAUUCUGUUUUUCUUAUUCUAUCUGUGUUGCCUUUAUAGUCAUAAGUCAUUAAAAACCUUUCUGGAGGAAUAAUUAAUUGCUUAGUUUCUGUUUUGCAGACACUAUUCAGCCUCUUUACAUCUGUGUUGGGUGGUGGGAAGUAGCGAUCACCCAGAGCCCCACUAGGACCCUGACGUGAGCCCCCCUAGGGCUCUGACAUCUGCCUCCUCCUUCCAUUAAUCUCCACAAUAACUUUGUUUUUCCUUCUUGUGCUGGGUUUAGUACCCAGGGAAAAGAAAUCAAACGUCAGUCUACUGCCCUCGUGCGAUGUAAAGCGAGUGAGAGCAGUGAGCCCACGAGCAUGGUUGAUGCACGUGAGGAGCCAUCCAGUUGGCAGUGGAGCAGUUGCUGUGUCUGUGAGAUGAGUGUCUGGUUUGCCGGCACCAAGCAGAACCUGGCCACAGAGCACCACUACAGCCAUGGCUAGAGCAGGUGUCCUAUAUGCCUGAGCUGCUCAGGGACGAAAAAGCAUGUGGGCUCCUGGCUGCUGAACAACCUGCCCCACAUCUCACCCUCUCCUGUUCCCAGAGUAAUCUGCUCACAACAGAAACCAAGACCAGCCCUCAACUGGCCUGGCGCCCACUGCCCCUAAUGUGGAAAGCCUGAUGUCUGAUGGGGGAAACAUCCCAGCAUCUCAGCUGUAGUGUCAGGACUUACUAUUACAAACGUCUCUCUGUCCCAGUUUCCAACCUGUUGCAGUUACUGACACCUACAUGGCAAGUUUUUGCUGUCCUGCUGCAAUUUGCUACCCCCACAAUUCAGCGGGCCUGGGUCUAGGAGUAGCGAUUUGUGACAGAUGGGGUAGGUCUUGUUGCAAUGUACUACUUCUGGGAAAUCUCUAUUUGAAAUUGGGACACUCAUGAAAUUAAUUUUCUAACUGAAUACAUUUUUCUAAAUUAGAAAACAUUUGUGUUAUUGAUAUCCAAAUUUAAUAUAGAGAUUUCAUGGAGUAGGAAACUGACAGGGC